rnacentral:rRNA from 1 species
ACGAACGCUGGCAGCGUGGAUUAGGCAUGCAAGUCGAACGGGAUCUUAUUGAUUCAAUCCUUCGGGGAGAGAAUCUUUAAUUGAGAGUGGCGAAAGGGUGAGUAACGCGUGGGCAAUCUGCCCUCAAGUUUGGAAUAGCCCACCGAAAGGUGGAUUAACGCCAAAUGUGGUCUCUAGUCGCAUGGCUAGAACACUAAAGGCGGGGAUUCUUCGGAACCUGUCGCUUGAGGAGGAGCCCGCGUACGAUUAGCUUGUUGGUGAGGUAACGGCUCACCAAGGCUGUGAUCGUUAGCUGGUCUGAGAGGAUGGUCAGCCACACUGGGACUGAGACACUGCCCAGACUCCUACGGGAGGCUGCAGUCGAGAAUCAUUCGCAAUGCGCGAAAGCGUGACGAUGCGACGCUGCGUGGAGGAUGAAGGCCCUAGGGUUGUAAACUCCUGUCAGGAGGGAAAAAUAGGCGGUAGGCUAAUAUUCUACCGAGUUGAUGGUACCUCCAGAGGAAGCCACGGCUAACUCUGUGCCAGCAGCCGCGGUAAUACAGAGGUGGCGAGCGUUGUUCGGAUUUACUGGGCGUAAAGGGUGCGUAGGCGGUCAGGUAAGUUGGAUGUGAAAGCCCAUGGCCCAACCAUGGAACUGCAUCUGAUACUGCUUGACUAGAGUACAUGAGGGGAGAGCGGAAUUCUUGGUGUAGCGGUGAAAUGCGUUGAUAUCAAGAAGAACACCGGUGGCGAAGGCGGCUCUCUGGAAUGUUACUGACGCUGAGGCACGAAAGCUGGGGGAGCAAACAGGAUUAGAUACCCUGGUAGUCCCAGUCGUAAACGGUGUCAACUUGGUGUGGGAGGCAUUAACCCCUUCCGUGCCGGAGCUAACGCGUUAAGUUGACCGCCUGGGGAGUACGGGCCGCAAGGCUAAAACUCAAAGAAAUUGACGGGGGCCCGCACAAGCGGAGGAGCAUGUGGCUUAAUUCGAUGCAACGCGAAGAACCUUACCCAGACUUGACAUAUAUCUGCACGCCCUGUGAAAGCAGGGAAGCCUUCGAGGGUGAUAUACAGGUGCUGCAUGGCUGUCGUCAGUUCGUGCCGUGAGGUGUUUGGUUAAGUCCAGCAACGAACGCAACCAUUGUGAUUAGUUGCCACUCCCGUUCUGCGGGAAGCACUCUAAUCAGACUGCCCUUGCAAAAGGGAGGAAGGUGGGGAUGACGUCAAGUCAGUAU